rnacentral:rRNA from 1 species
UACGUAGGCAGCGAGCGUUGUUCGGAGUUACUGGGCGUAAAGCGCACGUAGGCGGUGACGUAAGUCGGGUGUGAAAUCCCUCGGCCUAACCGAGGAACUGCGCCCGAUACUGCGUUGCUUGAGGACCAGAGGGGUGCAUGGAAUUUCCGGUGGAGCGGUGAAAUGCGUUGAUAUCGGAAGGAACUCCGGCGGCGAAAGCGAUGCACUGGCUGGUUUCUGACGCUGAGGUGCGGAAAGCCAGGGGAGCAAACGGG